CGUAGGUGACCUGCGGAGGGAUCAUUACACAAAUAUGAAGGCGGGCUGGAACCUCUCGGGGUUACAGCCUUGCUGAAUUAUUCACCCUUGUCUUUUGCGUACUUCUUGUUUCCUUGGUGGGUUCGCCCACCACUAGGACAAACAUAAACCUUUUGUAAUUGCAAUCAGCGUCAGUAACAAAUUAAUAAUUACAACUUUCAACAACGGAUCUCUUGGUUCUGGCAUCGAUGAAGAACGCAGCGAAAUGCGAUAAGUUGAUUGGCCCCCCGAAUUCAGUGAAUCAUCGAAUCUUUGAACGCACAUUGCGCCCUUUGGUAUUCCAAAGGGCAUGCCUGUUCGAGCGUCAUUUGUACCCUCAAGCUUUGCUUGGUGUUGGGCGUCUUGUCUCUAGCUUUGCUGGAGACUCGCCUUAAAGUAAUUGGCAGCCGGCCUACUGGUUUCGGAGCGCAGCACAAGUCGCACUCUCUAUCAGCAAAGGUCUAGCAUCCAUUAAGCCUUUUUUUCAACUUUUGACCUCGGAUCAGGUAGGGAUACCCGCUGAACUUAAGCAUAUCAUGUGGUAUUGCCCAAAUUGGCCAGGUUUACUGACUAUCGUUAAAGGUUCGAGUACUGAUC
rnacentral:rRNA from 1 species